GUUGAGACGGGGAGGGGAGAAAUCUUAGUUUUCGGGCUCUGGGGAUAGUACGCUUGCAAGAGUGAAACUUAAAGCGAAAUUGACGGAAGAUCACCACAAGGAGUGGAUUGUACUGCUUAAUUUGACUCAACACGGGAAAACUUACCAGGGCCAAGUCUCUCGUAGAUUGGCGACAUGAGAGGGGCAAGAGUGGUGCAUGGCCGUU
rnacentral:rRNA from 1 species